CAGCCGCCGCGGUAAUACGUAGGGUGCAAGCGUUAAUCGGAAUUACUGGGCGUAAAGCGUGCGCAGGCGGUUUGUUAAGACAGAUGUGAAAUCCCCGGGCUCAACCUGGGAACUGCAUUUGUGACUGGCAAGCUAGAGUAUGGCAGAGGGGGGUGGAAUUCCGCGUGUAGCAGUGAAAUGCGUAGAUAUGCGGAGGAACACCGAUGGCGAAGGCAGCCCCCUGGGCCAAUACUGACGCUUAUGCACGAAAGCGUGGGGAGCAAACAGGAUUAGAGACCCCAGUAGUCCCUGUCUCUUAUAC
rnacentral:rRNA from 1 species